rnacentral:tRNA from 1 species
GGAAGGGUCGCUCAGCGGAAAGAGCAUCGCGGUGCCACCGCGGCGGCCAUUGUGCCACGUGGCGUUCAAAUCCCACCCCUUCCG